ACGGGGCCGCACAAGCGGUGAGCAUGUGGUUAAUUCGAUGAUACGCGAAGAACCUUACCGGGGUUUGACAUGCAGGUGAUCGCCGUUGAAAGACGGUUUCCUCUUCGGAGGCACCUGCACAGGUGCUGCAUGGCUGUCGUCAGCUCGUGUCGUGAGAUGUUGGGUUAAGUCCCGCAACGAGCGCAACCCUUAUCAUUAGUUGCUACAUUUAGUUGGGCACUCUAAUGAGACUGCCGGUGACAAGCCGGAGGAAGGUGGGGAUGACGUCAAGUCCUCAUGGCCCUUAUAGGUGGGGCUACACACGUCAUACAAUGGCUGGUACAGAGGGUUGCCAACCCGCGAGGGGGAGCUAAUCCCAUAAAACCAGUCGUAGUCCGGAUCGCAGUCUGCAACUCGACUGCGUGAAGUCGGAAUCGCUAGUAAUCGCGGAUCAGAAUGUCGCGGUGAAUACGUUCCCGGGUCUU
rnacentral:rRNA from 1 species